ensembl:lncRNA
CUCUCAGGGAUUUAGGAGAUCUGUUAUCAGAACAGGUCUAGAUGCAGCUGAUGAUGAUGAUUAAAGGCUGAUGAACUUCAAAGUAGCAGGAGGCCACCAGGUGCACAGCUGUGCUCUACUGAUGACUUUGCCUUUACAGCCUGCAGCAUCAUGGGGCCACACAGAUGCUUCAGUCCCAGCUGCUGGUGGGAGAAGGUCCAAGAUCUUGCCUCUGGCUUGGAGUCUUUCAGAAUGAUUGCCCGCAGAAGAACAAGAAGGCAGAGGCCACCAAAACGGCUUUCUGGCAUGAUUUACUUGCUGCAAUGCCUGUGACAAUGUGCAUUAAUUUCACCGGGGGUGAACAGAAAUGCACAGAGGCUAUUGAAUGUUGGGUUGUCCCUAGGCAUGUCUGAAUUGAAUCCCGAAGGACAUGACCUGGCCUUGGUAUCCACAGAGUGUUGGAGGUUGAGGUUCCAGGAUGAACCUGGGGUCAGCUUUAAUUCCUCAAGGGAGGCUGGACUAGGCUCCUCUGGGAAAACACCCAGACAGAAUAUGGGCUCCCAGUUAUAAGGAUCCUUCAUAAAAGACAGAAGUCUCUUGAAGAAACUUAACCCCCAACAUAACCAACCUUACUAUAAUUUUUUAACCAUAAAUGAUUUAAAGAGCAGCUAGUCCAUAAUCUUAGCUUUUAUUAAAAAUAAGUUGUUGCUUUGUCAUGAAGACAUUAAUAAAACAUUUUCUUUUGUAGCAUAUUUUAAGCAAGUUACUUACAGCUCUCUGCCACAGUCUAGCAGGCUUCAUUUUGUUUUCCUCAGAGCAAAGAUGGAAUUCAGAGGUGGAACAACAAACUAAUUCAUGAAGUUUUGUGACAAUGGCCUGACAGACCGAAAUUCUACAUUUCCAACUUUAUUUGCAGUCGCUGGUUAUUCUGGUCAUUUAAAGAGAUGCAAUCUGCUACUAGGACAGUAUAGGAGUAGCUGGUACCAAACGUGUGUGCAAAUCUAAAAAUGGACCUGAGAGCUCAAUAAAAAUUCUUGGCACGGCCCAGCUAUUUGGUUUGGCCUUUCUGUGCAGGUCUACUCCACUUCUUCCAACAGUGUUUUUGUAUCAUCAGAAUCCAAGUACAGUGGCAGUAAAACGCCUUG